GGACACAAACACGCGGACACAUCUAGGGUUUCACAUCUCAUCUCAUUCUUAUCCGCCCCUCCAUCUGCUCUCUCUCUGGAUUCAGAUCUAGGGUUUUGAUUUCAGAGGUAAAGAUUGAAUCAUGAAGAUUUCUCCCAGAUCCGAUUUUGGUCUCGUAGAUCUGUCAUUAAUCAGAAGGUUACGAAUCAAAAGAUGUACCUCAGCUUCCGGACAUCAUCUUUACCAAGAGUGGCGGGUGGGGUUCACCACACCAAACAUGUACACAGGUAGGCUCAUUGCCCAUGUUUUUUCAGUGGGUCAUUGCCGAGUAGAGUUUACUCAUGCUUCUUCAUGGUAGAUGAUUCGGCUAUUAAGUUAAUGCAUUAGGCACAAGUUCAUUAAAGCAUGGUGAAGUUUUGGGCUGCUUGUGUGGAGACUCGAUGAGCAUGGGUGGCCUGACAUCAACAACAGGCGCCAGCUAGGGUUCCGACCACCCAGUAAACGGACUUGCAUCGGAAGAGUUUGCAGCUCGUAAUGAUUUGGUUCAGGCAUUUCCUGAUAGGAUUCAAGUAAUACCUGAUGGGGGGUGCUGAUGCGCCCAAACAGACCGGAGGUUGGGCUGCCUCAGCAUCUCGUACAAAUAAUAUCAAGUUUUAUUCAGAUGGACGAUUUGAUGAUGAAUACUUUCAGCAAAGUGAAGAGUGGAGCCAAUUCAGGAAUGAAUAUGAAAUGAGAAAGAUGAAGCAGGCUUGAUCAAGGCUUGGAUAUGAAAUCAGAACAUGGUUGUACUUGUACGUUUUGUCUUAUUUCGACCGAUCCAUUUUCUGACUUAUUUCGACCCAUAUGCACCGCCCAUACCAUCAGGAUUUCGUAUAAUCCGGUUAGAUCCCAAAUCAGGUGACACUAAGAAUGCAUUGGUAACCACGCAUAGAACACUUGACCUAACCUCCAGUCUAGACAUGACACCUACAGCUAACCAAGGUUCAACCGAUAUGUCAACAUGCCAAACCACACGAUCGGUUCUAACCAUCACCUUUCAGUUCCCGUUUGAGAAUAGUCUAGCCGAAAGUGUGGCCACAAUGGCCCGACAAUAUGUUCGAAGUGUCAUCAACUCGGUUCAGAGAGUUGCGAUGGCUAUAUCUCCUGGUUUGAGCCCGUGUGUCGUUCCCAAAACGUCUCCUGGCUCGCCUGAAGCACUCACUUUAGCGCAAUGGAUUUGCCAGAGCUACAUGUAUCAUUUAGGAGCGGAUUUGUUAAGCGCGGGUUCGGUAGUUGGGGAAUCAUUAUUGAAAGAUCUUUGGCAACAUCAAGACGCCAUUUUGUGUUGUUCUCUAAAGUCGCAACCUGUUUUCAUAUUUGCAAAUCACUCGGGGCUUGACAUGUUGGAGACAACUCUUGUUUCUCUACAAGAUCACAUUGGACAAAAUCAAAACACCUGCUUCCCUGCUCCUCUCUCUCUCUCUCUGAUGUAUAUCAUCAAUUUUAAAAUUCUUUUUUCAACACUUUCAGGUAAAAGAGAUAUUCAGUUACACUCGGGACAAGUUAACUACCGAAGACGUGUUAAUACUCGACUGUCACACUGAAAUUUACGUGUGGGUAAGCCAUAAUUCAGUUGUCAAGUCAAAGCAACAGGCCCUUUCUAUUGGACUGUAGGUGUGGCUGCGUGUGACACCGAUAGAACCUACCCCGGUUCUCUUUUUCUCGGAAAUGGCAAGAGAAUCUAUGGCAUCGGGUUAUCAGCACCAAGCUACGGUAAAUGGUUAGGCCAAUCUAAGUUAGUGUUAGCUAAAGAUGCAAUGCUGGCCACUGGCUAUUUCCCAAGAACCCAAUAAUUUAUCGAACUUGAUGUGCCAUUUGCUGUAACUGUGGACUCCACAUCAUCAGUGACAAUCCGUGUGAACGCGGAUGAGGUGGCAGCAGUGAUAAAGGAUGUAUCCGAGGGGCGUUGCAAAUGGAACGAUAUUUUACAGAAAUACCCUGCUCAUACUUCAGCUUCUGCAGAUGAGUGAAAACGAUAUUAUAGGCAAUUAGAAACGUUGGGUGCUCAACGGGCGGGUCUAGAAGACAUGCUUAAAGAUAUGAAGAGAAAGGAUGAUAUACUCCCGAAGUUGAUGACAUCGGCAGGUUCAUAUGAAGAUCUUUUCAGAAAUGAGAUCGCAAAAUACGAUCAUAUAUGUGAAGAAAUAUCUCAAAACCUCCAUGCCCAGGAGCAGUUAUUGCUACAUAUUCAGGUCUUUCUCUAGAAAAAAAAAUUGUACCUAUAUGAUUAGUUUUGUUCAGCUUUAACUUUGUUAAAAUCAAUGUACCAAUUUGACUUAGCGUUUGUUCAGCUUUAACUUUAUUAAAAUCAAUGUACCUAUAACAUUUAAUGAUCACAUGUUCUCUUUUAACUUGUAAA